NNNNNNNNNNNNNNCCUAGCUUUGACAUCUGUCACUCUGUGGAUCCCAGGGUUGAUUCAGCUGAUUUGGCUGGCUAGGCAGGUGUCUCCUUCCUCCCUCACUGCUCCAUGUGCAUCCCUCUUGAAGCUUUGUGCGCGAUCAAAUAGGAUAACUGUCCCUGAAUAGAGAAGGACCAGACUUCCGUCAAGGGUACACGAGUAAGUAUACUUCCUUGUUAGAACCUCUAAACAAGCUCUCUAGACUAGCAAUAGUGGCUGCUCUUUGACUCACUAAUGAGAACUCCGUGACUGUGAAGAAUUAGAAUAUUAUAGACCCAGAGCUAAAAAUCUUCUUGUACUAUUUUUAG
rnacentral:snRNA from 1 species